rnacentral:rRNA from 1 species
UACGUAGGGUCCGAGCGUUGUCCGGAAUUAUUGGGCGUAAAGGGCUCGCAGGCGGCCUGAAAAGUCUAUGGGUGAAAUGCCGGGGCUCAACCCGUGCGUGCCCAGGAUACUGUCAGGCUGGAGACACGUAGAGGCAAGCGGAAUUCCGGGUGUAGCGGUGGAAUGCGUAGAGAUCCGGAAGAACACCGGAGGCGAAGGCGGCUGCUGGGCGUGAUCUGACGCUGAGGCGCGAAGCGUGGGAGCGAACAGG